rnacentral:rRNA from 1 species
AACGGGUGAGUAACACGUGAGUAACCUGCCCUUGACUCUGGGAUAACCUCGGGAAACCGAAGCUAAUACCGGAUACGACCCUCGGAGGCAUCUCCAGGGGGUGGAAAGAACUUCGGUCAAGGAUGGACUCGCGGCCUAUCAGGUAGUUGGUGAGGUAACGGCUCACCAAGCCGACGACGGGUAGCCGGCCUGAGAGGGUGACCGGCCACACUGGGACUGAGACACGGCCCAGACUCCUACGGGAGGCAGCAGUGGGGAAUAUUGCACAAUGGGCGCAAGCCUGAUGCAGCAACGCCGCGUGAGGGACGACGGCCUUCGGGUUGUAAACCUCUUUUAGUAGGGAAGAAGCGAAAGUGACGGUACCUGCAGAAAAAGCACCGGCUAACUACGUGCCAGCAGCCGCGGUAAUACGUAGGGUGCAAGCGUUGUCCGGAAUUAUUGGGCGUAAAGAGCUCGUAGGCGGUUUGUCGCGUCUGCUGUGAAAACCCGAGGCUCAACCUCGGGCCUGCAGUGGGUACGGGCAAACUAGAGUGCGGUAGGGGAGAAUGGAAUUCCUGGUGUAGCGGUGGAAUGCGCAGAUAUCAGGAGGAACACCGAUGGCGAAGGCAGUUCUCUGGGCCGUAACUGACGCUGAG